rnacentral:rRNA from 1 species
GGCGAGAGACCGAUAGCGAACAAGUACCGUGAGGGAAAGAUGAAAAGAACUUUGAAAAGAGAGUUAAACAGUACGUGAAAUUGUUGAAAGGGAAACGAUUGAAGUCAGUCAUACUAACGGGAAAUCAACCUCUUGAGUUUGGUCUCGUGGGUUUCGAAGAGUUUUAAAAGCCUUCGGAUUUUCGAGAUUGGGCUCUUCUGGUGUACUUUCUCGUACGGUUAGUCAACAUCGGUUUUGAAUGUCNUAAAAUGA